GACGAACGCUGGCGGCGUGCUUAACACAUGCAAGUGGUGCGACGAACCAGGCUUCGGCCUGGGGCGAAGCCGCGAACGGGUGAGUAACACGUGGGCACUCUGCCCCUUUGAUCGGGACAACCCGGGGAAACCCGGGCUACUACCGAAUGAGGUGGCGACUCAUGAGAGUCGUCACGAAAGGAAGCUUCGGCCUCCGCGAAGGGAUGAGCGCGCGUCCCAUUAGCUUGUUGGUGGGGUAAUGGCCUACCAAGGCAACGAUGGGUAGCUGGUCUGAGAGGACGAUCAGCCACACUGGGACUGAGACACGGCCCAGACUCCUACGGGAGGCUGCAGUGGGGAAUCUUGCGCAAUGAGCGACAGCUUGACGCAGCAACGCCGCGUGAGGGAAGAAGGCUUUCGGGUCGUAAACCUCUUUCAGUUAGGACGAAGCUUUAUUGGUUAAUAACCAAUUGGAGUGACGGUACUUUCAGAAGAAGCCCCGGCUAACUACGUGCCAGCCGCCGCCGUAA
rnacentral:rRNA from 1 species